CAAGGCGACGAUACGUAGCCGACCUGAGAGGGUGAUYGGCCACACUGGAACUGAGACACGGUCCAGACUCCUACGGGAGGCAGCAGUAGGGAAUCUUCCGCAAUGGGCGAAAGCCUGACGGAGCAACGCCGCGUGAGUGAUGAAGGUCUUCGGAUCGUAAAACUCUGUUAUUAGGGAAGAACAUACGUGUAAGUAACUAUGCACGUCUUGACGGUACCUAAUCAGAAAGCCACGGCUAACUACGUGCCAGCAGCCGCGGUAAUACGUAGGUGGCAAGCGUUAUCCGGAAUUAUUGGGCGUAAAGCGCGCGUAGGCGGUUUUUUAAGUYUGAUGUGAAAGCCCACGGCUCAACCGUGGAGGGUCAUUGGAAACUGKAAAACUUGAGUGCAGAAGAGGAAAGUGGAAUUCCAUGUGUAGCGGUGAAAUGCGCAGAGAUAUGGAGGAACACCAGUGGCGAAGGCGACUUUYUGGUCUGUAACUGACGCUGAUGUGCGAAAGCGUGGGGAUCAAACAGGAUUAGAUACCCUGGUAGUCCACGCCGUAAACGAUGAGUGCUAAGUGUUAGGGGGUUUCCGCCCCUUAGUGCUGCAGCUAACGCAUUAAGCACUCCGCCUGGGGAGUACGACCGCAAGGUUGAAACUCAAAGGAAUUGACGGGGACCCGCACAAGCGG
rnacentral:rRNA from 1 species